rnacentral:lncRNA from 1 species
GAGUGGAGAAGUAUUUAUUGAUUCUAAGCUCUUUGCAGAGCCUUGUGAUCUUCACAUUGUCAAAUUGCUUGCAAUUAUCAAUGCCCAAAGAGUGGAGAACAGUAGUAAAUGAUGUUCUUUUAGAUAAAUUUGAGGGUAUUAGCUUCAAUGAUUUUCAUCAUAGACUCAACUUCGAUUCACUUAGUAAAAUAAUCAAGAGUAACAAUGGGAG